CAGUAGCCGCGGUAAUACGAAGGGUGCAAGCGUUACUCGGAAUUACUGGGCGUAAAGCGUGCGUAGGUGGUGGUUUAAGUCCGUUGUGAAAGCCCUGGGCUCAACCUGGGAAUUGCAGUGGAUACUGGAUCACUAGAGUGUGGUAGAGGAUUGUGGAAUUUCCGGUGUAGCAGUGAAAUGCGUAGAGAUCGGAAGGAACAUCUGUGGCGAAGGCGACUAUCUGGGCCAACACUGACACUGAGGCACGAAAGUGUGGGGAGCAAACAGGAUUAGAUACCCGAGUAGUCCCUGUCUCUUAUAC
rnacentral:rRNA from 1 species